rnacentral:rRNA from 1 species
UUCACGGAGAGUUUGAUCCUGGCUCAGGACGAACGCUGGCGGCGCGCUUAAUACAUGCAAGUCGAGCGAGAACCGGAGCUUCGGCUCCGGGGACAGCGGCGAACGGGUGAGUAACACGUGGGUAACCUGCCCUCGGCACCGGGAUAGCCCGGGGAAACCCGGAUUAAUACCGGAUGGCCCUUUCGGUCUUCGGACCGGUCGGAAAAGGUAGCUUCGGCCUCCGGCCGAGGAUGGGCCCGCGGCGGAUUAGCUUGUUGGUGGGGUAACGGCCCACCAAGGCCCCGAUCCGUAGCUGGUCUGAGAGGACGAUCAGCCACACUGGGACUGAGACACGGCCCAGACUCCUACGGGAGGCAGCA